rnacentral:rRNA from 1 species
GACGAACGCUGGCGGCGUGCCUAAUACAUGCAAGUCGAACGCAGUGGGGACGGGUGAGUAAAACGUGGGUAACCUCCCAUCAGAGGGGAUAACCCUUGGAUACAAGUGCUAAACCGCAAACUGGUGGAUGAACCCGCGGGGCAUUAGCUAGUUGGUGGGGUAACGGCUCACCAAGGCCAAGAUGCAUAGCCGGCCUGAGAGGGUGAUCGGCCACACUGGGACUGAGACACGGCCCAGACUCCUACGGGAGGCAGCAGUAGGGAAUAUUCGGCAAUGGACGAAAGCCGGACCGAGCAACGCCGCGUGAGUGAAGAAGGUUUUCGGAUCGUAAAACUCUGUUGGUAGAGAAGCGGUAUCUAACCAGAAAGCCACGGCUAACUACGUGCCAGCAGCCGCGGUAAUAC